CACACUCCCCUGAUCCGUGGCUGCACUGCUGUGGGCACUUGGCUGAGGAUGCAGACAGUGCUCAGCUAACCCAAAGUGGCAUGUGCCUGGCAGGAUAUUCCAUCUGUAAAAC
ensembl:misc_RNA